rnacentral:tRNA from 1 species
CAGAAAAUAGUUUAAUUAAAAUAAUAAUUUUGGAGAUUAUUGAUAAGGGUUUAUCUUUUUUUUCUGA